GCCCUUUUACUCAUCUGUGAAACAAGUUCAAUUUUCAUUCGGUUGAUCAAUCAGAAACCAUAAAAUUUAUUACAUUGUCGUGCUAAUUUCUAUCACUAGUUACAUCAAAUUUUAACUACCUCAAUCACAAUUGCUUGGUGUUGAAUUUUAUCAUAAACAUCAAAGUAGGAUUUCUGCGGUGGAAUUAUGUUAUGACCACGGGGAGCUAUUGCUUGGUCCGAC
rnacentral:lncRNA from 1 species